rnacentral:rRNA from 1 species
AAAUUGAAGAGUUUGAUCAUGGCUCAGAUUGAACGCUGGCGGCAGGCCUAACACAUGCAAGUCGAACGGUAACAGAAAGCAGCUUGCUGCUUUGCUGACGAGUGGCGGACGGGUGAGUAAUGUCUGGGAAACUGCCUGAUGGAGGGGGAUAACUACUGGAAACGGUAGCUAAUACCGCAUAACGUCGAAAGACCAAAGAGGGGGACCUUCGGGCCUCUUGCCAUCGGAUGUGCCCAGAUGGGAUUAGCUUGUUGGUGGGGUA